GUGACAUCAACGGGAACUGUGUUGAUGCAGCUGAAGAUGAGUUCUUUAGGUUGACAACAAAGGAAGGGAAAUUGACAGUGGAAAGAGAUGUCAUGAGGACUAAGACAACUGAUUUUUCAGCAAUCUUGCAAUUCGAGCAGGACCCUGUUCAGAUUCUUGAUGCCUUGCUGCCACUUUACUUGAACAGUCAAAUCCUGAGGGCAUUGCAGGAGUCAUUAGCCAGUGAGCU
rnacentral:misc_RNA from 1 species